AUGUCUAAUGCCAAUAUUUUGGGUAGCUUACUAUUAUGUACUACUAGGUGUACUAGUUGUAAAUAAUACUAGACACACGUGUCAAACAUUAAGGCAUUUUUUACACGUGCUUGUGGCAAUAGCUGCAUGAUGCAUGCUUCAAGUUCAGCAUGCUAUAUAAAGAGGUCCUUUUUGAUGCAGUGAGCAAGUUACAACUAAAGGUAAAUCACAAUGAAGACUCUUGUAUUCUUCUUUAUGACUCUCAGUGUUUGUGUUCUGGCUAUGCCAAGCACAAAGUCUUACAACAAUGAUCAUUACAGAAACAUAAACAAAGUAACAAACAUGAAUAACGAGACUUCACCACCAGGAGAAGGGAGAUCGUUUGUACAUACAAGUAUUUUUGUUUCUAUUGAAUUAAAAAGUCAUCAUUACAAUUUAAAGGUAUUGGAGUACUUGGUAUACGAAUCAAAG